rnacentral:rRNA from 1 species
GAGUUUGAUCCUGGCUCAGAUUGAACGCUGGCGGCAUGCCUAACACAUGCAAGUCGAACGGCAGCGCGGGCUUCGGCCUGGCGGCGAGUGGCGGACGGGUGAGGAAUACAUAGGAAUCUGCCCAGUCGUGGGGGAUAACCCGGGGAAACCCGGACUAAUACCGCAUACGACGGUGACGUGAAAGCAGGGGACCUUCGGGCCUUGCGCGAUUGGAUGAGCCUAUGUCGGAUUAGCUAGUUGGCGGGGUAAAGGCCCACCAAGGCGACGAUCCGUAGCUGGUCUGAGAGGAUGAUCAGCCACACUGGGACUGAGACACGGCCCAGACUCCUACGGGAGGCAGCAGUGGGGAAUAUUGGACAAUGGGCGCAAGCCUGAUCCAGCAAUGCCGCGUGGGUGAAGAAGGCCUUCGGGUUGUAAAGCCCUUUUGUACGGGAAGAAAUCAUCCGGGUUAAUACCCUGGGUGGAUGACGGUACCGUAAGAAUAAGCACCGGCUAACUUCGUGCCAGCAGCCGCGGUAAUCCCC